GGCCCGCCGUCCUCCGUGGGCGGGGGAGGGAAGCAGGUGGGUGAUCCGACUCCAGCCGUCAAGGCCCCCUGACCUGUCCUGCCCUCCUCUUGCCGUGACUUACGCUUGGAAAGGAACCAGCAUUUCUGGUUGGGCGUGUUUUAUUUAUAGUGCAAGAACAUCCACCGCAUUCCCCACAAAGUGGGCCGAUGUAGCUACCAGCCUCUCGGGCCAGCCGGAGCCCAUCGGCAGGUCCCACGGAGCAGGAGCCCCCCUGUCGCGAGCCGUUCGCAGCCCGGGACCAGAAAGGACGGGGAUGCCCGCAGCCGAGAUGGGUGUUUAUGCGGAUGGGCUCAGGCACCAGGGGCACCUCGCUCUCUGCGAGUUUCCUCCAACCACGUCUUGCGUUCAGGUGCCCGGAAAGUGCAGGUUAUUUCUGCCUGGACGUUGGCGGGAACCAGCCUGUGGGCAGAUCCAUCCGGUGGAGACUUUUGUAAAGGCACACCUUCCUGAGACCAUCGGACAGAUGCAGCUUCAGGACACCUGUGACUCACAACCGAAGGUCUCCUGAGCUCAGGGGUGCAGAAAACCCCUGUGGCGCUGCCACGCAGGAGUGCCAGGACCCCAGCCUUCUCUCCUCGGGAAAAAAUGCGCAACCUAGAAGUUGGGAGAUGUGUGUUAUUCAGCAGACAAAACCGAGGACUUAAGCUGGGACACAGGGGGUCAGAGAAUUCUGAGAAACUGCAUCAAAGAGGCCAGGAGUCUUUGCCACAAAGACCAGGCGAAAGAACAUCAAAGAUGGCUGUUGACUGAAGAAAACCAGACGUCCCAAACGAGGGAGCCGAGCGCCCUUCUAGGCCUGGGGAGAUGCCAGAGGCUGGGGCGUGGAAGCCAGGCCUUCGCUGUGCACCUCAGCUCCCUGAGUGUCCUGAGUUUUCUCACCCCGAGUUUCCUUAGGCUGCACCUUCGGGGGCGGGGGGUUGGCUGCAGGGCGGGCUCGUCUCCUCCCUGAGUUCCCCG
rnacentral:lncRNA from 1 species